GCGCACCAGGCGAGAAAACUUCACAAUGUGCGAAAGCACGAUGAGGGAAUCCCAAGUGCUUGCACGUAAGUGUAAGCUGUUUCUCUGUCUAAAACGCAGAGAGAGUAAGGGCUGGGUAAGACGGGUGCCAGCCGCCGCGGUAAUACCUGCAGCUCGAGUGGUGACCGUUAUUAUUGGGCCUAAAACGUCCGUAGCCGGUUUAAUAAAUGCCUGGGUAAAUCGGACCGCUUAACGGUUCGAAUUCCGGGUAGACUGUUAAACUUGAGACCGGGAGAAGUUAGAGGUACUCCUGGGGUAGAGGUGAAAUUCUGUAAUCCUAGGGGGACCACCAGUGGCGAAGGCGUCUAACUAGAACGGGUCUGACGGUGAGGGACGAAGCCCUGGGGCGCAAACGGGGAUUAGAUACCCGUGUAGU
rnacentral:rRNA from 1 species